GAGCAAUGGCGUCUAGUUUAAACGACGUGAAUUGCCUUGAAGGUUGGCGAUAACAGUCUGCGAUUCUCCGUGCCUAUCAAACUUUUUCUUUUGGUAUUGAUAAUGGCCUCGAACAAGUCGCUACAUU
rnacentral:snoRNA from 1 species